rnacentral:tRNA from 1 species
GGGUGUAUAGCUCAGUGGUAAAGCAUGUGCUUAACAUGCAUGAGGUCCUGUGACCAAUCCCCAGUAUGCCCA